UGGCUUAGGAUUGCGAUUCCUGUUGCUUUGGUUUGCAGGGGGCUUUGCUUUGGGUUAAAACAGGCCUCGUGCUGCAUUGCAGCGCUCCUCGCUUGGGAUUGCGACGCCUGUUGCUUCGGUUUGCGACGGGUCUCGCUUCGGAUUGCGACGGGUCUUGCUUUGGAUUAAACCAGGCCUUGCAUUGGAUUGCAACGGGUCUUGUUCCAGAUUGCAACGGGCCUUGCUUUGGAUUGCAAUGGGUCUUGCUUUGGAUUGCAACGGGUCUUGGUUUGGUUUGCAACAGGUCUUGGUCUGGAUUGCAAUGGGUCUUGCUUUGGAUUAAAACAGGCCUUGCAUUGGAUUGCAACGGGCCUUGCUUUGUAUUGCAACGGGUCUUGCUUUGGAUUGCAACGGGCUUUUCUUUGGAUUGCAACGGGUCUUGCUUUGGAUUGCAAUGGUUCUUGCUUUGGAUUAAAACAGACCUUGCAUUGGAUUGCAAUGGGUCUUGGUUUGGAUUAAAACAGACCUUGCAUUGGAUUGCAAUGGGUCUUGGUUUGGAUUGCAGUGGGUCUUGGUUUGGAUUGCAAUGGGUCUUCUUCUGGAUUGCAAUAGACUUUGCUUUGGAUUGCAACGGGCUUUGCUUUGGAUUGCAAUGGGUCUUGCUUCAGUUUGCAGUGGGUCUUGCUUUGGAUUACAACGGAUCUUGUUCUGGAUUGCAAUAGGCUUUGCUUUGGAUUGCAAUGGGCUUUGCUUUGGUUUGCAAUAGGCUUUGCUUUGGAUUGCAACGGGUCUUGUUCUGGAUUGCAAUGGGUCUUGCUUUGGAUUAAAAGAGGCCUUGUUCUGGAUUGCAACGGGCCUUGGUUUGGAUUGCAACGGGCCUUGCAUUGGAUUAAACCAGGCCUUGUUCUGGAUUGCAAUGGGUCUUGCUUUGGAUUGCAAUGGGUCUUCUUCUGGAUUGCAGUAGUCUUUGCUUUGGAUUGCAACGGGCCUUGCUUUGUAUUGCAACGGGUCUUGCUUUGGAUUGCAACGGGCUUUGCUUUGGAUUGCAACGGGUCUUGCUUUGGAUUGCAAUGGGUCUUGGUUUGGAUUGCAAUGGGUCUUCUUCUGGAUUGCAGUAGUCUUUGCUUUGGAUUGCAACGGGCCUUGCUUUGUAUUGCAACGGGUCUUGCUUUGGAUUGCAACGGGCUUUGCUUUGGAUUGCAACGGGUCUUGCUUUGGAUUGCAAUGGGUCUUGCUUUGGAUUAAAACAGGCCUUGCAUUGGAUUGCAACGGGUCUUGCUUUGGAUUAAAACAGACCUUGUUCUGGAUUGCAACGGGCCUUGCUUUGUAUUGCAACGGGUCUUGCUUUGGAUUGCAACGGGCUUUGCUUUGGAUUGCAAUGGGACUUGCUUUGGAUUAAAACAGGCAUUGGUCUGGAUUGCAACAGGUCUUGCUUUGGAUUGCAACGGGCUUUGCUUUCGAUUGCAAUGGGCCUUGUUCUGGAUUGCAACGGCACUGAUUUUGGAUUCAAUGCACAUUAUUUUGUAUUGCAGAGCAGCUGCUUUUGGAUUGCAAAGCCUGUUGCUGUGGGUUGCAACGCACCACGCUUCGAUUUGCAAUGCACCACGCUUCGGUUUGCAAUGCACCACGCUUCGAUUUGCAACACACCACGCUUCGAUUUGCAGUGCACCACGCUUCGGUUUGCAACCGGCCUUGCUUCACGUUGCGGUGGGCCUUGCUUCGGAUUUCCACCAUCCCUAGAAAACCUCGAAGCAUUGGGGCAGAAAGUUGCAAAAAUCCCCCCAAUCCCACUGGUGCAUGAUUUUUUCCGUGCAUCUUUUUAGGGGCUGAUCUCCCGGGGUGGCCUCCACCCAUUUUUUUGGGGGAAAAAAGGCAAUUUCUUCAUCCCCGGGGAUUAUUUUCCCAGGAAAAUACCCUUUUCUAGGACAGAGACCACCUGGUUGCUCAUAAGCGAUGUCAGCGAAAACAUUUUUCUGGGGAAAUCGUCAAACUCAGAAGUCUUGUAAAUAUUUGGGCUCAGAAAUAGCAAUUGAGUCCUGUGCCCGGGGAAGGCAUCCAAAACCAGCAAGUGAUUAAUUCUGUUUAAUUUGUGCUGGAUUUUGCAUGAUUUCGGGUGAAUUUGGUGACCCCGGGGAAGAUUGUUGGUGUUGAAAGGUUCCUCGGCUGCAAGAGGCCAAAAUUCAGUGAUUUAUACCUUUUUUUUUU